UGCCACUAUUUCAGUUUUUAUCUCCACAACAAAAAUUCCUUCCAACUUUUCCCCCCUGUCUCCCUCUAAUGCUCUUCACUCUCAAAUGCUAAUAACCUCCAGCUGUAAAAGGCUUAGAAGUGGCUCUAGAUUGUUUGAUCUUUGGCCUGUGAUCUGCUUUCAUCUCUGUGCUUUCAAAUGUUACUUUAGAUUUACUUUAACCUAUUAACGCGCUUGGUAUUCAUAGACACGCACACUCCAAAACAGCUUCCAAGCUCCCCAACUGCAGCACGCCUCCCCACGUCCGUCCCCCCCCCAUCAUAGCUGGGCUGGAAACUGAAACUCCCAGUGCAGACCGGAACUUUCCAGUGAGGGAUAGAGAAGGAGGCCUGGAAGGCAGGGCAGGGAAGGAUGCCCAGAGCCUGGGGAGGCUAUGCAGGAGAGUGGUGGGAAGGAGGAAGGAGGAAGGAGGAAGGGAUGAGGGAGCAGAGAAGGAAGUAGAGAAGAAGAGAAGGUAGAAAGGAAAAAAGGCAGAGAAAGGGACCAGGGGUACAGAAGUCAGCAAAGUGCCCAGGACUGCCAGCCUCCGUGCUGGUUACAUACCAUCUAAAUCUACUCUCCCCUGAUGGAGGAUGGGGACCCAGAGCCUGCUGAGUUAGUGCUUGAGAUUUCUAGCUUGUGGUUGAGCUGGGGGUGUGUGGCAUGUUGUUUCCACAGGAAAUGAGAGGCAUGAAUAUGGAUGAAACUCCUCACCGAGACCACAAGGCUUGUCCAGUCUAGAAGCCAGCUCUGCAUAGCAGUGGCCUCCAUGAUGGCAGAACCCCUGGCCAAAUUUGAACUCGACUUUUCUACUUAUUGACUUUGUGCCCCUGAGCUCCAGGCCAAAUCUCCAAAUGAAAUCAGGCUGGGGAGAAAUGAACAGGCGAGAUGCAGAAAACAAUGUGAAGAAGAAACUCUGAAGAUACGAAUAAUAAUAGAAAAAAAAAGAUCCCCAUAUCAUGGUGCCGUCAACACUCAUGGGGAGUCCUUCCCCUCAGCUAAUUCUCCUGAAGGUGCUUCUCCAUCUGUUAGGUGACUCUAAAUCUGGUCAACUUGACCAUGAAGACUAGCCAUCACCCCAGAGGACUAGUUACAGGACCAUUCGUGAAUGCUGAAUCCAGUCAACUUGACCGUGAAGAUUCGCCAUCAUCAUGGAGGAGGUUGCAGGACCAUUCCCAGAUGCUGAAUCCAUGGAAAUCAACUCCCUUGAAUUAGACCUUCAUGUCACCAUGACACAAUAUGUGAUAGAAACCACACAAGGAAGGAAACACUUAUGUCGCUCUUGGUGUCAGAACUUUCAAUGCAUCGUGGCAGGAAGGAUGCAGCAGACAGGAAGUAGAAAGGAGUAGUAACAGGAAGGAGCUGUGACCCACUUCCUCCAACUAGAGAACCCUGACUGUGGAAGAAGAGUUCUGACCCCCAAUUCAAAGUCAAGGAAGCAAAUUCACUCACAUCCGAUGAAAACUCACUUGGAUGAAGAGGCAGGAUGGAAGAGCGGCUCGGGGGUCAGAUGUAAGCUUUCAGCUACUGCUCCAGCGUCAUAGCAUCAUGCCUGCUUGUCUGUUGCUGUGCUUCCCGAAGUGGUGGCCAUAGACUCACCCGCUGCUCCUGCUCCAGUGCCAUGACUGCCUGCCACCAUUUCCCCAUCAUGAGGGCCACUGACUCACCCUCAGAAAUUGAGUGCUUUAGAACGUGUAAAAAGCCUCUUUGUCCUAUGUCAUGGGAUUGGAGUCAGAGCAAUGGGCCUGGGACAGAAACUCACCACUCAGCAAUCUGUUGGACGGUACACCACAGCCAAAGCCCUAGGAGGAUGUGUGGUACUCCUAUCUCUGGGUUGAGAGUCAUCUGUCACCACUGACCAUUGCUGCUGUCCUCUCUGGGGUGACCUGCCUCAGUAACCAGCUCUAGCUGUGUCAGGGGCUGUGAGAGGGGACCAACAGGCAGCAGUGGAACUCAUGGCACAUGCCUGGGUGGUAGGCAAAACCACUCCUGAGUGAGCCUUGGAGUGGCCAAACCCCAAGGACUAGGUGUACUGAGAACCUCAUGAUGUUAUUGAGCAUAGCUCUGAUUGCUGUCUUUGUGGUCACCACAGCCCUCAUAAUCUGUGGGGUGUAUGAAAACUCCCAGGGAGUUUCUAGUCCCUCACUGGGUAAUGUUACUGGUACUUAACAAUAAUAGUGAUUGACUUUCCAAGAAUUGCUGCUGGAGCAGAUUAAUGCUUCAACUACAACCCUUAGAAAGAAUUUAGACGUGUAGAAUUGUUAGUAAGGUUAGGUUAAGAUGUCUUUGUUAAUUAAUUUGAGGUAGAAAAUCUUGGGGAAAAAUUUAAAGUUUAGAAAGACACAGUUUUAAUAGUUAAAGAAGGGACUCAUUGAGGUCAGGUGACAGGAAAAAUGGCAGCCUGGCUAUUGCUGACUGAUGUACCUUUCUUGCUAGGUUGGUUGGUGAUCAAAGGUGAUGAUUAACUCCUUGUACCUAUGUCUGCAUUCAGCUUCCUGAUAUAAAAAACUGUUGACAAGUGGGUAUGCAUCCUGAGGAUUUAAUAUAGAGUUGACUGGUUGUUUUUCAAAUAUAAAUGUUUAGAUUUGUGAUUCUUUUAAGAUUUUUUAUAAGAUUACCUUUUGAGAUAAAUGAUAAAGUAAUUGAUCCUUUCUUUGUAACCGCAAAAUGCAGCCUGCCAGUAAAAGAACUGGCUGAGAAAAGUAUCUUGCUUGCUUACACUCUGUUAAUCUCUAACAAGUCCCUUGGACAUGAAUGUAUGUGGGUUCUUGGAGAUAAUUUGUUUUUCACCUAUGAUUCGUAAAAUGUUUAAUCAUGUAAGAAAUAGGGAAAACACGUUGUUUUUUUGCUUGUAUCAUUGCAAUCAUUCAUUUAAAAAAUAGAAUGUAACCAAAUCGUAAUUUUUAUACUGCUUGAAAGAUUUUCCUGGGGUAUACAAGCUGUGAGGGAAAAAAUAAAGUUAGUUAGAAGGAAGACAUCAAAAAAGGUACAGAAGAGAUACAUCUGGAUAGAAGUAUAAAGAGAUAAGAGAAGAUGAUGGAGAGACCCUAAAAGUGUGUGUGUGUGUGUGUGUGUGUGUGUGUGUGUGUGUUCCCUUUUUCGCUGCCCCUAGAAAGUUAAGUUUUACCCCUGUCACUGGCCCCAGAGAAUUAAGUUUUAGUCUCUCAGAUAGAAAAGUCAAGUUGAGAGAUUAGUCCGCCAACUCUGUGGAUCCCCCUCAAUCCCUGAGCUGCCAAAGGCCGUCCAGUCCCCAGCCUGCAGACUGGAUCUCAAUAACCAAAAAAACCAAUCUACUGCUAACUAGCCCUGACCACACUUGUGUGGGUGUGUGCAUACUCAGCCACCACAAGGCCCUGCCCAGCGCCUGGCUGUGUGCCCCAGGUGGGCUCCUGACACACCUCAGUACUGCUUGGUCUGGUUUUCUCUUCCUGAGCUGAUCAGAGAUUACAGGUUUUCAAACUGGUAAAUCUCACCUUGUGGUCAUUUUGCACUCUUGGCUAUCCCAUCUCACCAGGCUUCUCCUCAUGACUCUUUUCCUCACACUUUUGUAAUGUGCCUCUGUUCUCCUGCUCCCUGGUUCUAGCAGCUAUGUGGUCUUAACUGAGCUCUCUAGCCUUCCCAGACCCUGUUUCUUUUCACCCUUUCCCUCUCUGCUCCUCCUCUUCUCUCCUGACAGGGCUUCCACUCACUCCAGAGAUUGCUCCCACAGCUACACUUCCCCGAAGACAGGAGGCCCAGACCUCAGGGAAUCUGGCACAGGAGGGCUUGGAUUUGUCCCCAGACCUCCACCUCUAGGAGCUAAAGGGCGGAGAAGGCUUCAGAACUCAACUGCCUUUGCACAAGGGAGUAGGGAGAGGAGGAGGGAGACCUGGACUCUGCAGGAAAGAGCAGCUAUUAGUCACCAGAGGGAGAAAAGAAAAGGAAUUGGUCAAACAGCAGGUGGUCCAAGCAAGCUCACACAGCCCAAAUCAGCCCUGAAUUUAAUAAGGGAUGAGAACGAGAGGCAGUGACGGAAAGACAUGACACUGCUUCGGUCUGGUCCCCCUCCUCCUUCUCCUCCUCCAGUCUAUGGGGAGGAAGAAAGGUGAGUGGCAGACAUGUGGGAUGGAAGCUGUCUGGGAGUCUCCGUAGAGACCGAGGGAGGGAGGGAGUGGGGAGCAGGUGUAAGUAGUCGUCAAGAGCUGCUCGCAGUCCUUCUGAGCCUCUCCACAGGUACCCUUUGCAUCCCUGUGAAAAGACGAAAUCCUUUUUGGCAGACUGCAGUCUUUCCUCCAGGCCUUCCCUUCUGAUACACAAGAACAAACACUAUUUAAAUAAACUUGCCAGUAACCGGCAUCACCUUUAACUUCCAGGCUUCGUGUAGGUGCUGGGAGCUGUGUGGCUGUUGCCUGUCCGUAGGAUAGGACCACCUGGGACUUGAAUCAAAGCAGCUGGGAUUCCUGCCCAGCAUGAGACUUUUGUGAGAUCGUAUAACUGGAGAUUUCAGGGUGAGAUGCUUGGUCCCAGCAGCUCCAAUAGGCCCUUGACCUCUCAUAUCCAAUUGGCCAAUAAACAGAAUCCAUGAUGGAGAAAAACAGCAGAAGGAGGUUUAUUUAAUGUGGCCCCCAUGGGAAGAAGAACAAAGAAGGGUCAAGUGACCCUGAAUUCAUCUUUGAGAAGUUGACCUGGGACAUGGCAAGGGGGUAAGGGGUCUGCAUAAUUAAGCACCCUGGGCAGGGUGUGGUCAAUUCCGGUUCUGGAAGGCCAUCUUGUCUUCACUGGAGGGAAGCAUUCUGAUUCUCAGGAGAUGAUCACUUCUGCUUCUGGGUCUAGCCUUAGCAUUGUAGAUAAUCAUCCCGGGCCCAUUUGGAUGUAGUCUCCUGCAGGGUUGUCCUCUGCUUGGAAGUCGUUGGAGUCCUGUGGUGCUGUGAUACUGUGAACAUAUCUCUUACAUUCUAAGAGACUGGAUCUUUAGCUGGACCUCACAGCUGAGUUGAUGAAACACCCUGGGGUUGCCAUCCCUGUGUACUCGGCCGGUUUGUUUAACCUGCCUCUAAGAGAACAAGGUAACAGGCAACCUUACUUGCCUUGGAUUUCCUCUGUAAUCAACUUUUACAACCCAAGCUAAUGCAUAGCUGUAAUCUUAAGUUAUGUACUCUCCCAUGCCCCUGAUCCAGAGUAAUGCAUGUGUGUUAUGAUAAUCAUUUGCUGGAAACAGCAAACAGGCAGGAAGCAGCCUUAUAAAAUGAAUAUCCAUCAUAAAUACUGGAAGCAGCAUUCCGAUAUUGCUUGAUAGCAUUUGUUUGUUUGUUUGUUAUCUGGGUCAGUCGAAGUCAGUGACUUAAUCCCUUGUAAAAUCUGUUAAAGAUUUCUAUAAAGUAUCUCUCAUUCUCUCCCCAUGGGAUCCUUUCUGUGCUGUUCAGAAAAAGAGAGAGGAAAGCCUUUUGUUAGGGACAGACACACAGACACAGGCACAGAUACAGGGACAAAUUCACAAGACAGCCUUCAGGCAGGCAAAGACUCAGACUCACACAACAGAUAGACAAGGAGGGCAGAGGACACACGGAGAGUGAACAGAGAGUUCAAAUCUGGAUUAAAUGAUACCAAGAGAAAGAACCUGCUUGGACUCAUUCCUUAAUGUGGCAUUAUUGGUGGCUCUGAGUUUAUUAUUGGUGUGUCCAAACCAUCCACAGAGUCCCAUGGCACAAAGAUGUUUAUCCUGAAGUUCAAGGUGAUGCGAGAAGAAAGAGUAAGGAGACAAGAGCAGAGCCAGAGGGACAAGCUGGAGUGAGUUAGGCCAGAGAGAGAUCUGUGCCCUCCUUAAGUCAGGUCUCUCAGCAUUCCAUCAUGCAGGGAGGUUUACGGGACUCAGGAGCCUUCACCAGAUCCUCAUGAGGCUGCUCUGUGUAGCAAUAUGAGAAGUAAGCAAUCUGCUAGGGUGGGCCAUUUGCAUAAAGCAACUGUCCUUCGAUUGCUCAAGGACUCUUCACGGAUGUAGAGGUCUGGAAGUCAGCUUCCUAGUGGUGUAACUGCCUUUGAGUUCCCCCAUCUUCCUGUAAGUAAGCCUCACAAACUCUUCGGUUCACCAAGCUGGGCUUGGGUGGGACCUUUGCUCUGCCUGUGCCUCUCUACUGCCACAAAAGAGAAUGCAUGGCACGGAUCAGAGGUGAGCAAUGGGUAGACCCAGAAGAGGCACAUUUGCACAGAAUUCAAACUGGUGCCAAGUAAAACCAAUGCCUACAAAACCCUUCAGUAGUUCAGCUCUCCCGGAGCCGAGUUCCAGGACAGCUUCAUAGAGCACUGCCAGGAACAGGGUUAGAAAGGAAGUGUGACACAGAUAGACAAAGGGAGGGGAAUUGCAGCAGGGAGAUCACUGCAGCCUUAGAGUCUUUGAUGGGCGUGUUGUUGUGUUUGGGGAAAAUGAGGGCAAGAAGGAAAAAACAAACAAAACAACAAACAAACAAAAGCCCCAGGAUUGACUGGCGGCCGAUGCCCCCUUUUGCUCUCUGGUGAAUGUGUAGGCUGCUCUACCCACCUGCUCAGUGUCAUCUCCCCUCAUCGCCUCCUUAAAACUCUCUCUCUCUGCCACUUGUGCCCUGACAUUAUCAACCAUGAGCAAUUCCUGGAAUAUGCUGUGGGUUCUGCCAUCUGAUUUAGAACUAUUUUCUCUGACUUGGAUUUUCCUUUCCCGUCUUUCUCACCAGGCUGACACAUUUUCUAAAAUCUUCAGGACAAGCCUAUUCUAGAAUGACUGGCUUGGUAUGUCCCUCUUCCUUGGUUCAGAGUCAGGGACCCCUAUAGUCUAGUCUCUAACACAAUUGGGGUGUUUACAGACUGUAUCAUUUGUAUGUCUUUGUCCCUACUAGGCUCACUCUUGAUGAAUGAGACUGGUCUUAAUAGCUUUGUGUCCUUAAGGCCUGGCAGUUUUCAGCACACAGUAGGUAUUUUAAAAAUAAAUAUAUGAGGAAAUGUGGAUGUGUCAUUUAGCAUCUUUCUAUCUUAGAACCAGUAAUCUAAAUUUAGGAAUUUAUUCUAAAGAAAUACCACAAAUGAAGGAAAAGAGGCAUGCGUGUGCAAAUACUCAUUGCAGAAUUUUUGUUAGUGCAAAACCAAAAGCCACUUGGAUGUCAAGGACAGUAAACUGAGUCACAGCCUGUAGUGUCACCAUCGAUGAGACGAACCCCUGAGACUGUGGAAAACGUGAAAGAAAAGUGGUCCCUACAUAAUCUACAGUUUUGAGAAAUGGUACCUACCUUAUAUAUUUAUUCUGAUUAGAAUUACGUAGCACUAAAAUCAAGGACUAAGAGAGAAUAUACACGAUAAAGAAAAUUAGUUGUCAGACUAGGUUUGGUUAACUAAAGUGAUUCAUUCUUCUUUCUCUUGCAAUGCUGUUAUUAUAGUAUUUGUGUGGAGAAAGGAAACAGAGGCUCGGUUCAUGGGCCACCCAAUCCUGGGCUCUGUCUCUAAGAGAUGGAGCUUGAAGAAUAGCUUGUCCUCCCAUGAAACAGCCUCAGAAAACCUGUAGACAACUUCAAAUGCUCCGACUCCUAGUGUGACCCUGGGAGCCACAGCGUACUCCAGCGUUCUAGUGCUGCUCACAGUGGUGCAGAGAUGGGCUGGAGCUAUUCUCAGCAUCUCUGUCUCACCCCAACCCAGCCUUGUCUUUAUAAAUCCUCAAAGGUGCUUCCUCCCCCGACCUUUGUCACUGGUCAUUGCCUAAUCUUCCCUGUCCCUGCUCCUUAUCUGCUGCAGCAACUGCAAUGGCUGGCCAGUUAUUUACCAAACAUCACAUGCCAGGCCAAGGGAACCAGCAUCUCCAUUUGUUACUGUUAUUCUUGCUACAUAAAUCUGUCUGGUGCCCUAGAAAGCCAUGCAGAUCCAGGCAAACAAGCACGCUGGUCACCCUCCUACAAAGUUUCAGUAUCUAGGCUAAAGUUAACAUUCUGAGCCAGUUGAAUAAAUCCCUGCCCUUAUGGAGCUUGCAGCCUAAAAUAUAGGAGAGAGCUGACCAAAAAAGCAACAGGCAAUUUGUGCACGCUGCUACAAAACUGAGCACCAGGUACUAUGAGUGCAUAGAAUAAAAGCAAUGGGUUUUGCACAUGUGGAUGGGUGUUCACACAGGCACACAUAUGUAUCUGAGUAGUGUGUGUGUGUGUGUGUGUGUGUGUGUGUGUGUGUGUGUGUGUGUAGUUCUUUAGGGCAGAGAAGGUCCGCAGAACAGUUGGACUCUGAAAGAAAUGCAAUCGCUACACAAGCAGACAAGGAGGAGUGCUUUGGAGUACCUCCUGGGGUCUUCUCAGGUCUUGCUUUCUAUAGCAUAGUGUGUGUGGAUGACCAAAGGUUCUGUGUGUGAUCCAGAAGCUGGUCUUGGUUGUCAUCCGCACACUGGGUUUUCCACUUUUAAUAGAAUGGAGUGUAGACUCCAGACCUUGCUGUCCAUCGUGUUUGCUGUAGGAGUGUUUAAGCUGGGAAUCCAGACUGAAGGCUCUUCUCCCUGCUCCAUGGCAGCCCUUGCACCUGUCGGCCUUCAAGUGGGAGAGCAGGAGGGGGGAGGACAGUUUGGGGUAGAAUUGGGUUCCAGUGUUGACGCCCUAACCCCACAGUGUGAGUGUGCUGGGAAAAGAAGAAAUGAAGAUCAGCUGUGCUGUUAGGGUGGGGCCCUAACCUGAUAGGACUUGUAGCCUUACAACAAAGGAGACUAGGAAAUGUCUGUCUGCUCAGGCACAGAGAGAAAGGACCUGCAGACAGAGGGCACAAGUAGCUUUUCAUACUGCUCACUGGGAAUCAGCUCUUCCAAGGUCUGAUUCUUAGACUUGCAAGCUCUGGAGAAUACAUUUCCAUUGAGCCACACCCCCUGGGGUGUUCUGUGAGUGAGCCUAGCUAAGACAGGGCUGCUUUACUAGUUCCCAGUGUGCUCUCCCUAACCAAUCAGCACACAGGAGCGGGGGUCUUAGGCUAUGGAUCCCCCAUUGCAAAAAGUGGGGGGCCAGUCCAGAGGAGGUGAACAAUAGAGAGCUAGUCAUUUACAGAGGAACAGGAGAGAGGAUGCCUUCGAUAUCAUGAGGAUGGAGCUGUGAUCUUUUGGAAGAGACCACCUACCAUCAGGCACGUGGAAGGGAACAGUAAGUUCUCUCCUCUUCCUCCCACAAUCAGAACAUUUGAAACUGUAACCAAAGCCCAAAAUCUGGAGACCUCACCUUGUUCCAGAAUCCAGAACUCUUUCUUUUGGCUUUUGGCUAGAUGUGGUUUAGAACCUGUAAACUGUUUGCUAUUACAUCCCAGUCUAUCCUCAUGACCAAGCUUGACUGUAGGAGGCCUUGCAUUUACCCUUGUUUAUCAGCUGAGCAACUUGAGGUUCAGAAGCCAAGGACCUUGUUCAAGGUCACACACCUAUUGAGUCAGAGACCUGGUCCCAAAUAAGUUUGCCUCCCUCCAAAUCCUGUGCUUUCGUUUCUUUUUUUCACCCCAUGCCCUGGGACCGAGAAGUGUCACAUAUUAGCUUGAUGCAGGCUGUCCCUCUGCCCACUGCCAGCAGGAAUCUCUUCUCAUUCUUGUCCUGUGGUCAGGGAACAUGUGUCCUGGGGUGAGAGGAAAGCCCAGAGCUAUUCAUUCGACAAUUGCGCCUUUCAGUCUAGAUUUGUUUUUUGAUUUGUUUUCUGUUUGUCUUUUCUUCUGGGGAGGGAGGGCGAAGUGGGGGAGCAGCAGCCUUUUCUGGGAGCUCUGUUGAUUUCUGCUUCUGCUGUGUAGGGAUUUUCAAUGACGAGGCUUUGAUUUUCCUGCCUCCUUGGGAGAGUCAUGCAAUUUUUUAAAAAUCCACUGGCUCUGGUAGUCCAUUUCUGCUCCACGUAGCCUGCUGAGGAACCCAAGGCCUCCAGACUGAGCCAAUUUUCUUUCUCUCUGUUUUGCAUGAGAUGUUGAAAAGUCCUUGACUCAGGGUACUUUGCUGGAGUUGAGACUGAGAGCUAGUGUACGUGUGUGUGUGUGUGUGUGUGUGUGUGCGCGCGCGUGCGCGCGCGUGUGUAUUUGUAAGGCAGGGAGAGGGCACCUCUAGGCAAUGAGUCUUUGCUGCUCUGCAUCAGAGUUCUUGAGCUGGAACACACGAGCCUAUGGUCUCAGCUAUAAGGAUCCGUUGCACAGCCAGAAGAGGACAUGAGUGAGCUUGCAUCUGCUCAGGUCAAUUGCGCACACUGGAGAGUGCAGAUGCUGACAUCAAUUACAUGUAUGCUCAAGCAGGUGGAGUAGCGAGACAUAAGCCAACCAAAUACCCGUAGAUACACAAGUGUGCUCUCCAGCCUAUGUGCAGUCUCAGGUGUGAAGACCUCUGUGAAACAUACAGCCCGAGACUUGCUGUGAGCAUCUAUGCCAAUGCAUUAGCUAUCAGAUGAUUCUGUGAGCAUGUGGACCCACAAAAACAUGUAUGGGGCACCAAGACACCAAGGUCAAGCCUUCAUCUUGCUUUCUACAAGAGUAGAUAUUUUUCAGUAUAUGUAGGAGUGAGCAUAGACAAGCAUGCACUUGUAUUUGUGUUUCUGUUUGUGUGAACAUAUGGGCAUCCCAGGGCGUGUCUUUGUUGGUGUGGGUGCACAUUCCCCAGUGUGCAUCUGCAACUCCAGAGCACAUGUUCAGAGGGAACUCUGAGAGAGAGGCGCCUGGAUGUGAGGCUGAGGAUGUAGGGCCUCAUUUGCAUGGUGUUCCCCUGUGUUUGAGCUUGCUGUGUUCACAGCCCUGGAGAAUUUCAAACAACAACAGUGACACCAACAAAGAGGAAUGGAAAAUGAUGUAACCCUGCAUACAUUUCUGGAGCCUCGGGAACGGUCCCUGCGCAGGCUACGAUUCCAGCAGUGUCCGUUACCAUGGCUAUGGCUAAAGAGACGCUGCUGGCUUCUGUUUAUUUUUAAAUCCCCAUCCCCGUGACACCCCUCUCUGGAGCUCAAACCUCAUCCUAUCCACCCCAAGCUUCCUUCCCUCUGCUCAGAAGGUGAGAUCUCAACCCUCUCCAUACUCCGAGGGGGACCUGGGAGGGUAUUCCAACCCUUACACCCCACCCUCCAGAAAUCCAGGUGCCUCUGGGCCAGGGAGGGUGUUACUCUAGACCAGGAGGCUCCUGGCAAAUUGCAGAACUCAGUGGAGGGAGCCGCCUUCAUGCUUGUGUUUAGUGUGAGCUUCUGGUCCAGCUUAUGGUUACCUGACUGCCAGGGUUAAUAGGAAUAAGUCCACACAGAGAGUUCUACCACUGAUUUCAUGAUACCUACAGCCCAGGCUGGGGGUAACGGGGUAGACAGAGGGAACCUCAGCAGAUAGGGUCCGGUCCCAGGCUUCCUUGGGCAGGUCUUCGUGCAAUCUAAAUUUUCUCCUUUUAGUCCCCUGUCUGAUUUGUGCCUGGGUGAGGAGGAGGCCAGCCAAAAGAAGUGGUGAUUUCUUUCCCUGAGAGAGCUGAAAGGCUGGGCAGGAUUGAGCUGAGGCGUGUCUUCCCUUGCCCACAGGGUUUGGGCUAUACAAAGGCAGGGCAAACUGAGCCCGAACUCAUAGGUUUCCUUUGUAGUUUUUCUAGUCCAAACUGCACUGGCACCCAGUUGUAGGUUCAGGGUAACAUAGAAUAGAGAAGGCUCACACUGACAUUUCCCAGUGUGGAUAAUGAGCAUCUGUGGCCCAUGACUUCUCUCCUCAGGCAGUUAGAUGCUUCAAGAAAAGAUGAUCCUUUCUUACUCUGCCCUUCAUAGUGCCUUUGGGAGAGGACCUGUCUUAGUCACUGUUCUAUUGCUGUGAAGAGACGCUAUGACCAAGGCAGCUUAUAGAAGAAAGCGUUUAGUUGGGGGCUUGUUUAUACAUUCAGAGGGUUAGUACAUGAUCAUCAUGGCAGGGAGCAUCAUGAGAAGGUGUGUGUGGCAGCAGGAAGGCAGGCAUGAUGCUGGAGCAGUAGCUGAGAGCUUACACCUGGAUCCAAAGGGGUGGGGGGGCAGAGAGAGAGAGAGAGAGAGAGAGAGAGAGAGAGAGAGAGAGAGAGAUAUUGAGCCUGGUGUGGGCAUCUGAAACUUCAAAGCCUACCCCCAGUGACACACCUUCUCCAACAAGGCCAUGCCUUCUAAUCCUUCCUAAACAACCCACCAACUAGGAAUCAAACAUGAGCCUCUGGGGGCCGUUCCCAUUCAAACCACCACAGAGCCCUCAUUACAGCGGGUGGUCAAUGAAUUAACGCUUAUCUAGUUAAGGCCUCCAAGCCUGUACAGAGCAUUGGCUGUGGGCUUUUCUGUUCUCAGUGGGGCUUUCUUAUUUUAAAAAAUGAGGGACUAGAUCGAGUUAUCUCUACCCAUCCAGCCUGACAUUUCAUAAUUCUAUUAACUAAUUGAAUCGGAUGGGCAUUAUGGAAAAUGUUGAACAACAGGCUGAUUUUUUUUCUUUGAACAUGAACCAGAUUCCCUGGGUCAGAGUCAGGUCAGCAGAAGGAAAAACAAGCAGAUGACGACACCCCCCUCUCUGUGCACAAAUGGGCAACAUCAGCAGAGCACGCCGGAAGUGUGCAGUGGGAAUUGGCAGGUGUGUGCUUUCUGAGAAUUGCCCUGAAAUUUAGGCACUUUGGUGGCUAGUGGUCACAGGCUCCUUUCACCUCUAGCAUCUAGUUGAGUCCCUGCGGUGCCUUCAAGGGACUAAAACAGGCACUUUUUGAUAAGUUUUGGGUUUGAGAAACAGGUCAAGUCCUUCAACAGAAACAAAUAAGGGUGUGACUUGGUGUGGCCAGAGACACAAGGACUCCUAGGUUUUCCUAGGACACCCUCUUGAUCACCUCAUCCCUUCUGAUUACUAAGAAUUAUGGAUUGAAUUGUGUCCUUAAAAUUCAUAGUCUGGUGGUUCUUAAUUAGAAACAAGGUCUGUCCUAACCCACCCCUCAUCUGCCAUAUGGUGGCAUGGGCAGGGGAGAGAUGCCCUUCCCACCCCCCUCCUCUGCCCAUCAAAGCCUAAAGCAGGUGGGAGAGCUGGCCCUAAGGUUAUAAGAGUGAGAGAGCUUUUUCUGCCCGCCCCCACUAGCUGCAACUCUCAGGAGAGUGGCCCCUGCACCUCACCGGAGCAGUACAGUAGAGCCAAACCUUUGGUGGAGAUGUAGGUGAGCCAGUCCCUAAGUAGUGAGCAUGAGAGAGCUGUCCCCACUAUUUGUCUGUCGUGUGGCAGUGUGGUUAGGUGAGAGAUGCCCCCCCAUUACCCCUCACCACCUAUGACAGAUGAGGGAGCUGACCCUCUCCCUUACCACCUGCAGCACUCAGGAAACUGGACCCUGUUCCUUCCCUGGGCAGCACAGUAGAGCUGACCUUGUUGGCAGAGGUGUGGGUGAGCCAGCCUUGAAGUAGUGACCAUGGGAGAGGUGUCCCCAUUAUUCACCUGUCUGGUGGCAGCAUGGGCAGGGGAGAGAUGCCCCCACCCACCCAUCAAUGCCCGAGGCAGGUGGGAGAGCUGGCUCUGAGGUCAUAAGAGCAGGAGAGCUGUCCCUGCCCCUCACCAAUGCAGCACUCAGGAGAGUGGCCCCUACACCUGGCCUGGGCAACACAGUAGAGCUGGCCCUGAAGGUGUAGGUGUGGGAGAACCAACCUGAGGACGUGAAAGCAGGAGAACUGGCCCCGCCCCUUGCUCAUCUAUGCAUGGGUGAACUAGCCAGGACAAUGUUGGAGAGCUCAUCUUGGUGGUAAAGACAGGGGAGAGCUGGCUGCUGAACUGACCAACCCUGCAACUACCCAGGCCAAGAACCAGGAUUAUGUGUUGGCCCACCCCAACAUCUGCCCCAUCUGUGAUCUUCUGGAGCAGGGUUGCGGGGGGAGCAUUGGGGGUAGGGAUGGCUGCAGGAUCUCCACCUCCACAUAUAGGCAGCAACAGGAUGUCCAGGAAGAGUCCCAGUGAGGGUCCAGCAUCUAUGGUGUAGCAGAGAUCAGGGGCUUCAACCAGACCAGUGAUUCUUUGGGAUGAACACUUGCAUGUAAAAAUGUAUGGAUAAAGGGGUUUAUGUGUAACCCACUGUAUCACACUGCAGCUUCCAUGAUGAGAGAGUCUCCUUUUCUUCCUUUUUUCACCCCCUUUUCUUCUCUUAAAUUUUAUUUUGGUUUAUUUGGGGAGAGGAUGGGUGAGAUCCAGGGACAUGGUGUGGAGACAUGAUGUGAAAGACACAAAGAAUAAAUACCAAGAAAGUUAAAACAACAAGGAAUAAAUAGAAAGAAAGUUAGAAAAAAGAAAUAAGGUCUGUAGAGAGGUAAUUAAUUGCGAUGAGGUCAUCCUGGUGUGUUUUAUAUAAAGGGGGAACCCUGGGGCAGUGGUUAUAAUUCAGUGUCACAGCACCUGUCUCACAUGCACAAGGCUCUGAGUUCAAUCCUCAAUAUUGCCAAAAGAUGUGUGUGUGUGUGUGUGUGUGUGUGUGUGUGUGUGUGUGUGUGUGUGAGAGAGAGAGAGAGAGAGAGAGAGAGAGAGAGAGAGAGACAGAGAGACAGAGAGAGAGAGACAGAGAGACAGAGAGUUGGGGUUCAGGGUGUGUGUGUGUGUGUGUGUGUGUGUGUGUGUGUGUGUGUGUGAGAGAGAGAGAGAGAGAGAGAGAGAGAGAGAGAGAGAGAGAGAGAGAGAGAGACAGGCAGACAGACAGAGAGACAGAGAGACAGAGAGUUGGGGUGCAGGGUGUGUGUGUGUGUGUUGAACACAGAAAUACUGCCAGAAGGUGAAGGUCACGUGACAGUGAAGGUAGGUCAAGCCAAAGUCAGUGGAUGCCAAAGGUUGCCUGAAAAUGAGCGGCAGCUUAGGAGAGGCACGGUGCAGUCCUCACCUGCCUGUGCUUAGGAGGCAUCAUCUUGGGCUCAGACUUCCAGACUCCAGAGUGCCAAGGCAAUGCAUUUUGCUUGGUUUUGGCCCCAGCCUGUGGUGUUUGAUUCCUUUAGCUGUAGAAGAUUCACACAGUAAGAGAUGCCAUGUGCUGGAGAGAGCCUUAAGUCUCAGCCAUUCCCCACUCCGGACCCUCACGCUUCCCUCUUCCAAGAUGUCACUCAAACACAUCAGGUAGCAGGUAACAUACAAACAGCCGACUAUCCCCAAAGAAAGUGAUUUUUUUUCCCAGCUCAACUCAGCUUUGCAGCUAUUUCCAUCCACCAGGAGGUCCUUCCUCCUUUCCCACCCAAAUCCCACCUGCUGCAGUCUCAGGCUAUUCUGCUUUAUUUUGCUCUCAAGAGACAAUGAUCAACUGGAACGCCCACCUCCAGAAAUCAAUCCUUUGUUGUCUAAAAGUUACACAUGGAAUCUCUCUCCCGGUUCGCUGACAGCUCCCACCUUCCAGUUCAAGGUAAACCUUCAGCUCACAGCCUAGGAAACGCCCAGGCUCUCAACCGGGCAAACGUUCCUGUGCAGUGACCUUGCCUGUGACAUCCCCAUCCCAGCUGUCGCCCCAUCCCUCCCCUGCUUCCCUGGGUCCUUCAGCACAGUCCUUCCAAAGACAGAGCUUGUUUUGUGUGCCUGAGCAUGCCUUGUCUCCAAACACAGUGUGGAGAGGAGUCAUGGGGACGGAGCUGCGGUGGCCGCACGCUCACAGUGACCGAUGAGAGGGCCUGAUUGCUUGUGCAUGGCUGCUGAAAGGGGUCUUGACAUUUUAAGUGCUCGUCAGAGUGAGGAAUGACAGCAGCAGACAAUGAGACACUUCCUCUUUGCCUUUUGCUGGCUAUUAAUAAGGGUUUCUGAUUCCAUAGAAGUGGGAGAGACUCUGGGCCACUGGCUUGACGGAGCCUUCUGGGAUUUUUUUUUCUCUCUCACUUUGUCUUUCUCCCUGUGCCUCUCUCCUCUUCUCCCUGCCCGUCUCUCCUCUAGCUUCCAGGGUCUCUCUCCCCCAGGUGUGGCUGCCUGUUUGUCUUGGAGUUGGAAUUGCUCGUGUUCAGGAAAUGGCGUGAGGCAGCUGGUCUCAGCCGUGACUUUGGCUCUCCGCUGGAGUGUUGCCGGUCUCUGAAUCCCUGUCCUGAUUUCCCCAGGGCUGCAGUGGACUGGAAGGGAGGUUAGGAGCUGGCAGGGGAGAAGGGUGUGAAGCUGGUAGUGGGAAAUGGGCUUCUGGGAAAAGCCACUCACAGGGACCAUUAAGGUUGUCUGUACGUGCUGGGGCAGAGAGAUGGGAGACAAUUUCCUCUCCCACUUUCCCUGUCUGCAUCCUUCUCUCCCUUUCUGUGGUCCCUCCAUCAGUGCUAGUGGCCACGUGAUCCUCCUCAACCUUGCUGGGCAAUGGGCUGCCUCCUGGCUUCAAGGAGAACGUUCUAUGACUGGAUCUCAGAAGGGAUUGUUUGUAUUGCUAGAUUCAUGGUUCUGAAGUUUAUCCUCUUGCCAAACUAGGGAGAUCAACCAUUUUGACAGCCAGAAUGCAGUUUUCCUCAGUGUGAAAACUGGGGCAGUGCCCAGUGAACCAAACCCCUUAGUUACCCCUCCUCCCGAUCACACCACGACCUGGCUUCGGGUUCAGUAAGUUGAUACAGGGGAUGGACGGAGGUGAGCUGGACAAGAAUCCUCAGAAUGGAGCAGCCUGCCUUCUUAUACCAGUAAAAGAACAAAGAAGAGUGAGCGUCCACUGUGACCUUUGACUCCUUAGGGGAUCCACGUGAAGUGAGGAACAUGCCCCGGCUCUCAGGCUGCCUGGCCUUUUAUCCUCUCUCCGUCCCUCUUCCGAACACCCACUCUAGCCUGGAGUCCAGGUCCAAAGCCUAUCCCUUUCUUCUCAUUCAAUUACAUAAACAAUAUGAGCUUUGCAAACAGAAAAUUACAGGCUGCAAUAAUUGAAUCCUUCCCUGGACUUGAAGCUUACAGGGCGGAGGUGUGUAGUGCCUUCUGGAUACCCAGCCUUGCCCCAGGGCCUCACUUUCACUUAGUCAAGUCCUAACCAACAUUUAAACAUCAUGUUGUAGCUAAUGGUGUUUCUACCUCUACCAACUCCCUUGAAUUUUACAACUAUGUGAAGUCAGUUAUCCAGCAAGCCUUCUGUGCCUGUGGGUUUUGCAUCCAUGGAUUCAAAUAGCCACAGAUGGGAAGCAUUUGGGGAAAAAAAUGCCCCUGUACUGAACAUGUGCUGAUGUUUUUCUUGUCAUCAUCCCUAAAUAUAAUGGAACUGCUAUUUGCUUGGUAUUUAUAUUGUAUUGCGUAUUAUAAAGAAUACAGAGAUGAUGUAACUUUUGUGGGAGGCUGUGCAUAGGUUAUUUGUAAAUACUGCACCAUUUUGUGUAACAGACUCUAGCAUUGUAGGAUCUGGGUAUUCACAGGAAGUCUUAAGACCAAUUGGCUGUCACCUCUGAUCUUAUUAUUGUUUAUUAUUCUCUUUUCACAAAGGGGUGAUAUCUGAGGCAUAGAACCAUUCUGAAUGUUCAAGGGGACAUAACAAACACUUAUUUCACAGCUCAGAUCCAGGUCCAAGUUUUCUGCAAUGGAUUUCAUGUUUUCCCAAGUGCAGCCACAUUCCACCUCCCACCAUCCUUGACCAGCAUGUGGACCUGCCACCUUUAGUCUGCCAUGGUCCAGGCAGACCAAGUGUGAAACUGUCAAUGAAAUAUGAAUGGUUUGAUGAACAAGGACCUGUUCUACUCAAAGCCUGAAGAUGUGACAGAAAGCCUAGAGGCCUCAGAAGUGUAGAGGAGGCAUCAGACAGGAGAAAAUACCUCACAAAGGUGACUUAAUGAAAGGGCCCCUUUGGCUCCAACUGUGAGAGUGCAUCGGCGACGACAGGAUUGUGAAGCAGCUGGUUAAGGUGCAUUUACAGUGAGGAAGCCAAGAGCAACGGAUGCUGGUGCUCAGCCCGCUUUCUCAUUUUUAUUUCACUAUGACCCCAGCCCAUGGGGUGCUGCCACCUACGUUCAAGCCCGAGCAAGUGGGAAAGACACAGAGGAAGUGUUCAACAGCUGUUCACUAAUGAGUGACUUUCUCCCCUGUAAAGCCUGGACCUAUGGUUCCUCCUCCAGAAGAUUCUACUGAAAGGAAUCAAGUUUCCUGGUGCCUUAGGUGGAAUAUGGCAGCCAUCAGUACCUGCUUAAGGCGUCAAGAAGGGACGAACAACAUAGAAGAGAAAGGACUCUCAGACUGUGUUGCCCUGGACAGGACUGGGAACAAGCAUGUGUUGAGGACAGGAGACUACACUUGCUCGCCUUCCUAUGCACAGCAUGCUGAAGAUGUAGAAGAGGGACUCUUGUUGAUGCUGUUUCCCAUAGCUUAUCCUUUCUCCACAACACAGGCCAUCCUAGCAUCUGUAUUCCCAGCCUUGUCCUUCCAUGUUCUCCACCCCAUCAACCAGGAGAGACAUACAGACCUUGUACAGGCAUGGAAACUGUCCUUUCCAGAAGCCAGGCAACUUGAAUCCUGUUGAACUACAGAACUCUGUCCUUGCACACACCCAGCAUCCAUCAGCCUUGGGUCUCUUGUCUCUAUCCUCAAACAGCCAACAAAUUCUGUCUGCCUUAAAAAUAUCAAAUGAGAGACCAUGAAAGAAGUUUUAAAGGCACAUGCGUGUCACUUUGUAUUGCAGGGAUUGGUUCCAGGACCCCUGCAGAUACCCAAAUCCGCAGGUGUUUGCAUUUUAGGUAAAGUGCAUUGUACCUGCACCCAGCCUAAGUAUGCAGCUAGACUUUAGAUUGUCUCUAGAUUAACUUUAAUGCUUAAUGCAAUGUCAAUGUCACCUACAUUGCCACUGUGCCACACUGUCGAGGGAAGAAUGACAAGGAAGGAGUCUGCACAUGUUCCUUGCAGAUGCAAGUUUUCCUUGAAUUCUUUCAGUGCAUGGUUGAUUGAAUCUGCAAAUAUAGAGCCUGUGAAUACUGAGGGCUGAUUGCAUUGAGCUACUCAAAGCUGGUGUAAAUGAUUAUACAUAAUAAACAUUAAUCUACUGUUGUUUCCAGCCAUGCCAGUGGGCUUUAUACUAUCCACAGACUAUCCAGUUGCCUCUCCAGUAAGACAACACAUAAGCUGGUAUGGAAGCAGGAAGGGCUGGUUCAGGCCUCCUCUGCACCAGGAUGGUUAUAAAUGCGGCCCAACACAUUUGUAUGAUAGACGACAGUGUCAAGUUUUGUUUUUUUUUUUAUCACUGUGAAAAUCUAUAACACAAAAAAGUCAUCCUAGGUAGAAAGUAAAGUAUGUGCAAAGGCCCUGUGGUAGGAAGGAGCUUUUGACCAUUCUAGAAAUUGGCAGAAGACGUUGGUAUCUGAAACAUAGCAGACAGGGUACAAUUGGAGAAAGACAUGGUGUAUAGCAGAUGCCUGGUGGCAUUUGACUACUAGUGGAUUAAUUGGUGAGUGAACAAGGCUGCAGCCUGGGUCAAGGAAGCUUAUCUCUCUGUACCCUUCUGGUAAUGCACAUUUCUGCAGCAGCACUGAAUACAUCUGGCAACAUCCCUCUCCAGACUCUGUGGAGAGAGACCCCUGUCCAGGCUUCACCAACUCACCUGGCGAUCCGAUGCCAACUGAAGGCCCUGGCCUUUCUACCUGACUGACUCUGUCCACUUUUCUCACUCAGAGAGCCCCCCUCCUUCCCUUCUCCUCUGGAUCCCUGUGGGGGCCACUGCCUAUGUUUAUGAAAACUGAACAUGUCAUUCAAACCAGCACCUCUGGCCUCCCAACACCGGAGAUCAGCGGCUACUGUUUUCCCUCUCUGUCACUGGACUCUGCGAGUGAAGGCUGGUCUCCCCGUGGCUGUUCCCAGAACCUCACAGACGGUAAUGAGUCCGGGGUUGGUGUUAAGCUCAGAUGUCAAACAGAGUGGCCAGGGCCUCCCGAAACGCCAAGAGAGCCCCGAGCUUCUCCCUCUACAAGCUUCCUCCUGAUGAACUGCUCCUGCCCCAUGGCUCUUCUGAAGUCCAUCAACGUCUGUGUUCCAGUUGGAAAACGCGACUGCUUUGAGGCUGAGAACACUUGGAUGCUGGCUUUAUUUCAUUCAUUAAUUUAUUUAAAAUAUUUACUGAGGCUUAUUAUUGGCAGGCACUGGCUAAGUGCUAGGGGUUUAGUGUUGAAACUCACAGUCUGGGGCAGAGAUGGCAACAUACACAAAUAACUGUAAUACAAUGUGGUAAGUGCUGUAAUAUAGGUUCUGUGAGCUCAGAGUGCUCUGGAAACCCAGGAGGGAGCUUAUGAAAUAAUUUACUUACUGUUCCAAUGUCUAAAUAUGAAUGUUUAAGUAAACACCUUUUCUUUGGAAAUGCUUGCAGCCUUUGUGAUUUUUUUUCCUGUCUAUUAUCUUACUUGGUGCCUCUCCCAACCCCUUUAACCAGCUCUUGUUCCAUCAACUCACCUCGACACAGAGUCAGGACCCACGAAGUAGCUCUGGAAAGAGAGAGUAAGUGAAUGAGGGAAUCAGUGUUACUCAGUCUGGUUUGCAAUUAGAUAAAUUAAAUGUCACAAAGUGAUUUGCUGAAGGUCAUAAACAUGUUCCCAGGUAGUCGGUGUAAACAUUCCUUCAACACCUAUGAUAGAAGGGUUUCUCUGCUGUGCUGUAAAUAAGGUUAGAACGUGUUUCACCCUCCUGAACGUCUGCUUUCACGGGUAAAACGGGAUGCACAGCUCAAGUAUGACAUCAAAGCUGGAGAUCGACUCACAAGUGGCCUGUGAUCAGCCACUGAGUCCAUUGCAGAGGCAGGAAGGACCCCGGGAAGCAGGAGCGUUCACUGUAGCUCACAUAUUCAGGGAAGGUGCCCAGAAGUGAAAGAACAAAACAAGAAGAAAAGAGGCAGCAGGCAAAGACACUCCCCAAAGAAACGAAAUCCACUAACCAGGUCUGCUGCGGUGUGCUUUUUCCAGGUCUACACCCACUGGACUGGAGCACUCAACCCUGUCCUUUGCAGUCUGUCUUCAGGCUCUAAUUAAACCCCAGAUUACAUCCAGGUCAAGAAAUCUUUGAGUCCUCUCAGGGAGAGGUUUUUCUUCACUCUCUUGGGGUCACCUAGACAAGGGGUGUGAUGUGACUACAUGCUUGAGUUCUUGCCUUGACUUCCCUGAAAUCAUGGAUUGUGGCCUGGAAUUAUAAGCCAAACACACCUUCUGUCCCUACAACUCAUUUUUGUCAAAGUAUUUGUGUAGUGGGUAGCCAUUCCAGCUUUGAUCUGGAAGUUCCAACCCCCAUUGAGGCUUCGGUAAUUGUCACGCCUACAAGGUGGGGCCGAGAGAGGACUCUGAACACCCAAGAUCUGGAUGCGCUAGCUCUCUUGGUUCCUGGACCCCGGACGCUGGAGGUAGACCGAGCAGAGUUCUCCAGAGAACACCACGGGACUGUGAUACACCUUUCCCAGACUCUGUAGCCUAUCCCUUCACUUGUAAGUUACCCCACAAAAUAAACCUCCCUUUUAACUACG